rnacentral:rRNA from 1 species
GACGAACGCUGGCGGCGCGCCUAACACAUGCAAGUCGAACGAGCGAGAGAGAGCUUGCUUUCUCGAGCGAGUGGCGAACGGGUGAGUAACGCGUGAGGAACCUGCCUCAAAGAGGGGGACAACAGUUGGAAACGACUGCUAAUACCGCAUAAGCCCACGGGUCGGCAUCGACCAGAGGGAAAAGGAGUAAUCCGCUUUGAGAUGGCCUCGCGUCCGAUUAGCUAGUUGGUGAGGUAAUGGCCCACCAAGGCGACGAUCGGUAGCCGGACUGAGAGGUUGAACGGCCACAUUGGGACUGAGACACGGCCCAGACUCCUACGGGAGGCAGCAGUGGGGAAUAUUGCACAAUGGGGGAAACCCUGAUGCAGCGACGCCGCGUGGAGGAAGAAGGUCUUCGGAUUGUAAACUCCUGUUGUUGGGGAAGAUAAUGACGGUACCCAACAAGGAAGUGACGGCUAACUACGUGCCAGCAGCCGCGGUAAAACGUAGGUCACAAGCGUUGUCCGGAAUUACUGGGUGUAAAGGGAGCGCAGGCGGGAAGACAAGUUGGAAGUGAAAUCUAUGGGCUCAACCCAUAAACUGCUUUCAAAACUGUUUUUCUUGAGUAGUGCAGAGGUAGGCGGAAUUCCCGGUGUAGCGGUGGAAUGCGUAGAUAUCGGGAGGAACACCAGUGGCGAAGGCGGCCUACUGGGCACCAACUGACGCUGAGGCUCGAAAGUGUGGGUAGCAAACAGGAUUAGAUACCCUGGUAGUCCACACCGUAAACGAUGAUUACUAGGGGUGGAGGAUGGACCCCUUCAGUGCGCCAGUUAACACAAUAAGUAAUCCACCUGGGGAGGACGACCGCAAGGGUGAAACUCAAAGGAAUUGACGGGGGCCCGCACAAGCAGUGGAGUAUGUGGUUUAAUUCGACGCAACGCGAAGAACCUUACCAAGUCUUGACAUCCCUUGACAGACAUAGAAAUAUGUAAUCUCUUCGGAGCAAGGAGACAGGUGGUGCAUGGUUGUCGUCAGCUCGUGUCGUGAGAUGUUGGGUUAAGUCCCGCAACGAGCGCAACCCUUAUGGUCAGUUACUACGCAAGAGGACUCUGGCCAGACUGCCGUUGACAAAACGGAGGAAGGUGGGGAUGACGUCAAAUCAUCAUGCCCUUUAUGACUUGGGCUACACACGUACUACAAUGGCGUUAAACAAAGAGAAGCAAGACCGCGAGGUGGAGCAAAACUCAGAAACAACGUCCCAGUUCGGACUGCAGGCUGCAACUCGCCUGCACGAAGUCGGAAUUGCUAGUAAUCGUGGAUCAGCAUGCCACGGUGAAUAAGUUCCCGGGCCUUGCAC